CAGGCCGUCUAGGUAUCUACUCCCUCUGUCUGAGUAAGGUACCUACCGAACGCAGUCAGGCGGAUCAGCCAAUGGAAUCGUGAGAUGUUGUGACCUCAAAAUACCAACUACCUAUACGUGAUCAGAGAGUGCACAACUAAAAUUGUUUGGCCUGGUGUCUAUUUCACCAUGCUGACAAUUGGUACCCGAUACUGUCCAUUUUCUGUACAUUGCCGGGUCGAUAAUCACGGACAGUACAGUACAGUCCAACAAGUAAAUAUUGACGCUUUGUGCUUAGAAAUUAGGUACAAGAAGUUGUCAGUGUCAGAUGUAUCGAUUGAAAAGUUAGUAAAAUAGGCGACUGAUUGUUUUUGGUAAGCGGCAGCAAAUUGGGAAAAGGUAGGUAUAAUCACAAAAGUUAUUAGCUGUGUACCCCUGCAAACUCUUGUCUUCACAACACAAGUUAAUAACUAUGCUUCUGCUUUAUCUAAGCGCUCAUUAAAAUCGCUUGCUUAUAUGCUCUGGUAUAACAAUAGAAAGUUAAAAAACUUCAAAAUUGCCGCCAUUUUGCAAGUGUAAUUGGCGAUUUUGGUUUUGCGCUAAAGCAUUUGCAGAACGCCAACACUAACAAACAUUUUUAUGAACUAUGUAAUUUUAAGUCGCCUUGCGAUAGGUAGUACAAAUUGGAAGUUAGUUUAAGGGCCAGUUACACCAACCACAAUUAGCGGACUGAUGAACGUAAGCAGUGAACUAUGAAACUUACCAUACGUGGAGCCGACCCUUAUUCUAUUUCUUUAUGAAGAGAGAUAAUAAUCUCAUCGUCAUUUCAACAAUUUCGAUGAAAGUUAUGUUUUUAACUCUCAAGUAAUUUCUAAGAAUUAAAUGUACUCGGCCAUAUAUAUUUUUAUUUUAUUUAUUUGCUUUUGUUGUUUGUGUAAAAUAGGGGUAGUAAGUACUUUUAUUAAGAUUGCCUUAUAUUACCAGGCCUAUGAAGAUUUUUUUUAUCAGGAAAAGUUAUUUUAGUCACGCAGCAAUCUUUAAAGGGCUAUGGCUGUAUCUCUUGAACCGUGUGUCGUAGAUAGCGCGGACGUACUAACAAACGCCAACGAUGGUUUGUAAGCGUGUGCCGACGAUCCGCAGUGAGGCGGCAACAUCAAAGGAUUUGAAGCAAUCGACCCCAUGCGUUGUGGAUUGGGGUGCGUACACACCAAGCUAACGAACGUUUUUCAGUGUUGGCUGUCGCACGUUCGUUGGUUCUAGCCAACGCCAACACGCAUAUCUUUCGUUGACAUUCGUUGGUCUUGUGUGUACGCAGGCAAUUUGCCUGCGUAAAAUAAUACCUACCGCCACGCAGCGUAUUGCCGGCACACGCUAACGAAUGAUUAUGGAACGGUCGUUAGCGUUUGUUGAGCCGUCCAGACAGGGCCAAACAAGGUCGGUGAAACCCAUUCGUUGGCUUGGUGUGUACGCACUUUUACGAACGCGAAGCAGGGCGCUGCGGCGUUAUUUACACGCGAACGUCGAGCGGCGCGGCGCGGCGCCUAAGAAACGAACCGUUGUUGCAUAAUCUAAGUGUAGGUGAGCGAUCUAUCUUGACACGAUAUGGCGAAGUGGCGCCGCGCGACGCGGUGCGGGCGCGAUUAACACAUUUGUUUUUUAGACGCGAAUACAACGCGGCUAGAGGCAUGGCCCGCGUGGCGCAUGUAGAAAUACCAAAUUUUUAUUUUUAUAGAUGUUUUGUAAUGUAUAGGAAAAAAAAUUAAAAAUAAAUUAUUCAAAUGCACGGACAUUGACAUAAAGGACUUAGGCACCAAUAGCGUAUGGCACUGACGACUAUGGAGGCAAGCGAGCAGACGGAUCACCUGAUAGUAAGCGAUUACCACUGCCCAUGGAUACCUGCAACACCAGAGGGGUUUUAAGUGCGUUGCCGGAAUUUAAGAUGGAAGUACGCUCUUUUCUUGAAGGUCGUAUCGGUCCGGAAAUACCGCAGGCGACAGUUCAUUCCACAGUUUAGCUGUGCGAGGUCUUCAGCUUACAGAGGCCUACCCCUAGUUUCGCUCAUUGUCACUGACAGAGCGUUACCGAUCUCCGCUUUGGUUUGUGCGGUUGUUCUUUUUUUUAUACUACUUCGGUGGCAGACAAGCAUACGGCCCGCCUGACGGCCUAGCAGUCUCCGUAGCCUAUGGACGCCUGCAACUCCAGAGGAGUUACAUGCGCGUUGCCUACCCAAACACUCCGCACAAUCGUUGAGCUCUGGCAACCUUACUCACCGGCAGGAACACAACACUAUGAGUAGGGUCUAGUGUUAUUUGACUACGGUUUCUCCUCUGCAGAUUGUACCUGCAGAGGAGAAACCGUAGCCAAAUAACCUUCCUAACCGAUAUUCGCGAAAUUUUGUGAGCCAGUUUGGUAGUUAAAUAGUUUUUGUCGUUUCAAUUUUUUUAAAGUUCAAAAUGUUCUGUGCCAGUAACGCCUAUAGCACUUAAGAUAAGACUAUUGUGAAUUUUAUAUUAAAGGAAAAAAUUACUCUUCCGGCAGGACUUGAACCUGCAACCUCCGCAAUCUGUGCAUUUGCUCUUAUUCUAUGUAACUCUAAUUACGUCUUAGUGAGAGUAAAAGAAAAAGAUCCCUCUGGCCUUUACUAGUUCAGUCAGUGAAUGUGUUAAGCAACUACUUAAAUUAAAGGGUGUAAUAAAUAAACAAUUGUGUAUACAUGCCA